GUCCUCCCUGACCAGCGGAUGGGGUAGUCCCAUCGGGUUCCUGAGAAUGGUUGGAGUAUCUGGUAGGAGGAGGGGAUCCCUGUUCGACAGCUCCAGAAGAUCCGGGAACCAUGGUUGGCUUUGCCAUAGAGGCGUGAUGAGGGUCAGUAUCACCCUCUGCAUGCGGAUUCGGUGAAGAACCCUCGUAAUCAUUGAGAAUGGUGGGA